UACGUAGGGUGCAAGCGUUAAUCGGAAUUACUGGGCGUAAAGCGUGCGCAGGCGGUGAUGUAAGACAGGUGUGAAAUCCCCGGGCUUAACCUGGGAAUUGCAUUUGAGACUGCUCUGCUCGGGUGCGGAAGAGGGAAGCGGAAUUUCCGGUGUAGCGGUGAAAUGCGUAGAUAUCGGAAGGAACACCAGUGGCGAAAGCGGCUUCCUGGUCCGACACCGACGUUCAGGCACGAAAGCGUGGGGAGCAAACAGG
rnacentral:rRNA from 1 species